CAUGUAGGCGGUUUUUAAGUCUGGAGUGAAAAUGCGGGGCUCAACCCCGUAUGGCUCUGGAUACUGGAAGACUUGAGUGCAGGAGAGGAAAGGGGAAUUCCCAGUGUAGCGGUGAAAUGCGUAGAUAUUGGGAGGAACACCAGUGGCGAAGGCGCCUUUCUGGACUGUGUCUGACGCUGAGAUGCGAAAAGCAGGGUAGCGAACG
rnacentral:rRNA from 1 species